CGGGAGGAAUACCAGUGGCGAAGGCGGCCUUCUGGACUGACACUGACGCUGAGGUGCGAAAGCGUGGGUAGCAAACAGGAUUAGAUACCCUGGUAGUCCACGCCGUAAACGAUGUCGACCAGCCGUUGGGUGCCUUGAGCACUUUGUGGCGAAGUUAACGCGAUAAGUCGACCGCCUGGGGAGUACGGCCGCAAGGUUAAAACUCAAAUGAAUUGACGGGGGCCCGCACAAGCGGUGGAGCAUGUGGUUUAAUUCGAUGCAACGCGAAGAACCUUACCUACCCUUGACAUCCUGCGAAGCCGGAAGAGAUUCCGGUGUGCCUUCGGGAGCGCAGAGACAGGUGCUGCAUGGCUGUCGUCAGCUCGUGUUGUGAAAUGUUGGGUUAAGUCCCGUAACGAGCGCAACCCUUGUCCCUAUUUGCCAGCGGGUCAUGCCGGGAACUCUAGGGAGACUGCCGGUGACAAACCGGAGGAAGGUGGGGACGACGUCAAGUCAUCAUGGCCCUUACGGGUAGGGCUACACACGUGCUACAAUGGCCGGUACAAAGGGUUGCGAGCUCGCGAGAGUCAGCGAAUCCCAGAAAGCCGGUCUCAGUCCGGAUCGGAGUCUGCAACUCGACUCCGUGAAGUCGGAAUCGCUAGUAAUCGUGAAUCAGAAUGUCACGGUGAAUACGUUCCCGGGCCUUGUACACACCGCCCGUCACACCAUGGGAGUGGACUGCACCAGAAGUGGUUAGCCUAACGCAAGAGGG
rnacentral:rRNA from 1 species